GAUGAAGAACGCAGCGAAAUGCGAUAAGUAAUGCGAAUUGCAGAAUUCCAGUGAGUCAUCGAAUCUUUGAACGCACAUUGCGCCCUUUGGUAUUCCGAAGGGCAUGCCUGUUCGAGCGUCAUUAUCACCCCUCAAGCCCUCGGCUUGGUGUUGGACGGUUUGGUGGAGGCCCCCUCGGGGGCUCCUGCCCCUCCCAAAGACAAUGACGGCGGCCUCGUUGGACCCCCGGUACACUGAGUUCUUCACGGGACACGUAUCGGACACAUGGGUUUACGGGACACGGUCUGCCUCCCCUCAGGGAGAAUCUUUCUAAGGUUGACCUCGGAUCAGGUAGGGAUACCUGCUGAACUUAAGCAUAUCAAUAAGCGGAGGA
rnacentral:misc_RNA from 1 species